CCUACGGGAGGCUGCAGUGGGGAAUAUUGCACAAUGGGCGCAAGCCUGAUGCAGCCAUGCCGCGUGUGUGAAGAAGGCCUUCGGGUUGUAAAGCACUUUCAGCGGGGAGGAAGGCGGUGAGGUUAAUAACCUCAUCGAUUGACGUUACCCGCAGAAGAAGCACCGGCUAACUCCGUGCCAGCAGCCGCGGUAAUACGGAGGGUGCAAGCGUUAAUCGGAAUUACUGGGCGUAAAGCGCACGCAGGCGGUCUGUCAAGUCGGAUGUGAAAUCCCCGGGCUCAACCUGGGAACUGCAUUCGAAACUGGCAGGCUAGAGUCUUGUAGAGGGGGGUAGAAGUCCAGGUGGAGCGGUGAAAUGCGUAGAGAUCUGGAGGAAUACCGGUGGCGAAGGCGGCCCCCUGGACAAAGACUGACGCUCAGGUGCGAAAGCGUGGGGAGCAAACAGGAUUAGAUACCCCGGUAGUC
rnacentral:rRNA from 1 species